CCUACGGGGGGCAGCAGUGGGGAAUAUUGCGCAAUGGGGGAAACCCUGACGCAGCGACGCCGCGUGUAGGAAGAAGGCCUUCGGGUCGUAAACUACUGUCAAGAGGGAAGAAACCGUAGGGCAUUAAUACGGCUCUGCGCUGACGGUACCUCUAGAGGAAGCACCGGCUAACUCCGUGCCAGCAGCCGCGGUAAUACGGAGGGUGCGAGCGUUAAUCGGAAUCACUGGGCGUAAAGCGUGCGUAGGCGGCGUAUCAAGUCAGGCGUGAAAGCCCUCGGCUCAACCGGGGAAUUGCGCUUGAAACUGGUAUGCUAGAGUCUCGGAGAGGUUGGCGGAAUUCCAGGUGUAGGAGUGAAAUCCGUAGAUAUCUGGAGGAACACCGGUGGCGAAGGCGGCCAACUGGACGAGUACUGACGCUGAGGUACGAAAGCGUGGGUAGCAAACAGGAUUAGAUACCCCCGUAGUC
rnacentral:rRNA from 1 species